rnacentral:rRNA from 1 species
AAUGAACGCUGGCGGCGCGCCUAAUACAUGCAAGUCGAGCGAGAAGACGUAGCAAUACGUUUGUAAAGCGGCGAACGGGUGAGGAAUACAUGGGUAACCUACCCUAGAGUGGGGAAUAACUAGCCGAAAGGUUAGCUAAUACCGCGUACGCUCCUUGGACUUCGGUUCAGGGAGGAAAGCGAUGCCGAGGGUAUCGCGCUCUUGGAUGGGCUCAUGUCCUAUCAGCUUGNGGUGAGGUAACGGCUCACCAAGGCUUCGACGGGUAGCUGGUCUGAGAGGACGAUCAGCCACACUGGCACUGCGACACGGGCCAGACUCCUACGGGAGGCAGCAGUAAGGAAUAUUGCGCAAUGGGCGAAAGCCUGACGCAGCGACGCCGCGUGGGGGAUGAAGGUCUUCGGAUUGUAAACCCCUUUCGGGAGGGAAGAUGGAAUGGGGUAACUCAUUCGGACGGUACCUCCAGAAGCAGCCACGGCUAACUUCGUGCCAGCAGCCGCCGC